GGGGGUAGCUCAGUGGCAGAGCACUUGCCUGGUAUGCACAAGGCCCUAAGUUCCAACCCCAGCACCUCA
rnacentral:tRNA from 1 species